UUAAUGAUUUAUGAUGGGAGUUGAUGCUGGCAGCUUUCUUUGGCUGCAAUGUGCUCGCUUCCUAUCAAUCAUAUUCCAAACACCUGUGCACCAUCUUUUGAGGGGGGUCCUUGUUUUCACCCCCUCGAAUUCUAAUAACUACCUAUAAUGCUGAACGUGUUGUGCCGUAAGGCCUUAAUGAAAAAUACAACUUUUAACAACGGAUCUCUUGGCUCUCGCAUCGAUGAAGAACGCAGCGAAAUGCGAUAAGUAAUGUGAAUUGCAGAAUUCAGUGAAUCAUCGAAUCUUUGAACGCACCUUGCGCUCCCUGGUAUUCCGGGGAGCACGCCUGUUCGAGUGUCGCGAAAUUCUCAAGCUUGGGAUUUAUUAUGUCCCCAGUCUUGGUUGUUGGGCUUUGCCAUAUUACCUUCGUUGGAGGGGGGGGAUGGCUGGCCUUAAAAAUAUUAGCUGACCUUGAAAUGAUUAUUGGUUCUACUCAGCGUGAUAAAUAUCUGAUCGCCGAGGACAUCCCUUUGGGAUGGCCAAUUGUUGUUUGGGUUGCUUCUAAUCAUGCUCGUUUCAUGGACUUUUUCGAUCUGUGGAAUCUGCUUUUUCGACUUUUGACCUCGAAUCAGGUGGGACUACCCGCUGAACUUAAGCAUAUCAAUAAGCGGAGGAAAAGAAACUAACAAGGAUUCCCCUAGUAACGGCGAGUGAAGCGGGAAGAGCUCAAAUUUAAAAUCUGGCAACCUUUGGUUGUCCGAAUUGUAAUCUAGAGAAGCGUUUUCCGCGCUGGACUGUGUACAAGUUUCCUGGAUACGGAACAUCAUAGAGGGUGAGAAUCCCGUCCUUGACACAGACCCCCAGUGCUUUGUGAUGCGCUCUCGACGAGUCGAGUUGUUUGGGAUUGCAGCUCAAAAUGGGAGGUAAAUUCCUUCUAAAGCUAAAUAUUGGCGAGAGACCGAUAGCGAACAAGUACCGUGAGGGAAAGAUGAAAAGCACUUUGGAAAGAGAGUUAAACAGUACGUGAAAUUGUUAAAAGGGAAACGCUUGAAGUCAGUCGCGUUUGCUUUGGACUCAGCCUCACUUCGGUUUGGUGCAUUUCCUUGCAAACGGGCCAGCGUUCAUGUUGUUUGCCGGAGAAGGUGCAAGAGAAUGUGGCUCCCUUGGGAGUGUUAUAGCUCUUGCUCGCAUACGGGAAACGAUAUGGAGUGGAACAGCACGCUUCGGUGGUGCUUGCGUUGGCAUAAUGGCUUUAAACGACCCGUCUUGAAACACGGACCAAGGAGUCUAACAUGUCUGCGAGUGUUUGGGUGGAAAACCCGAGCGCGUAAUGAAAGUGAUAGCUGGGAACCCCAUCAUUGGGAGGCACCGGCGCCCCGAGCUGACCUUCUGUGACGCAUCGGAGGUAGAGCAUAUAUGUUGGGACCCGAAAGAUGGUGAACUA
rnacentral:rRNA from 1 species